rnacentral:rRNA from 1 species
CAUGCAAGUCGAGCGGUAACAGAGAGUAGCUUGCUACUUUGCUGACGAGCGGCGGACGGGUGAGUAAUGCUUGGGAACAUGCCUUGAGGUGGGGGACAACAGUUGGAAACGACUGCUAAUACCGCAUAAUGUCUACGGACCAAAGGGGGCUUCGGCUCUCGCCUUUAGAUUGGCCCAAGUGGGAUUAGCUAGUUGGUGAGGUAAUGGCUCGCCAAGGCGACGAUCCCUAGCUGGUUUGAGAGGAUGAUCAGCCACACUGGGACUGAGACACGGCCCAGACUCCUACGGGAGGCAGCAGUGGGGAAUAUUGCACAAUGGGCGCAAGCCUGAUGCAGCCAUGCCGCGUGUGUGAAGAAGGCCUUCGGGUUGUAAAGCACUUUCAGUCAGGAGGAAAGGUUAGUAGUUAAUACCUGCUAGCUGUGACGUUACUGACAGAAGAAGCACCGGCUAACUCCGUGCCAGCAGCCGCGGUAAUACGGAGGGUGCGAGCGUUAAUCGGAAUUACUGGGCGUAAAGCGUACGCAGGCGGUUUGUUAAGCGAGAUGUGAAAGCCCCGGGCUCAACCUGGGAACUGCAUUUCGAACUGGCAAACUAGAGUGUGAUAGAGGGUGGUAGAAUUUCAGGUGUAGCGGUGAAAUGCGUAGAGAUCUGAAGGAAUACCGAUGGCGAAGGCAGCCACCUGGGUCAACACUGACG